GAUGAACGCUGGCGGCGUGCCUAAUACAUGCAAGUCGAGCGAACGGACGAGAAGCUUGCUUUUCUGAUGUUAGCGGCGGACGGGUGAGUAACACGUGGAUAACCUACCUAUAAGACUGGGAUAACUUCGGGAAACCGGAGCUAAUACCGGAUAAUAUUUUGAACCGCAUGGUUCAAAAGUGAAAGACGGUCUUGCUGUCACUUAUAGAUGGAUCCGCGCUGCAUUAGCUAGUUGGUAAGGUAACGGCUUACCAAGGCAACGAUGCAUAGCCGACCUGAGAGGGGAAUCGGCCAAACGGGAACUGGAAACCGGUCCAAACCCCUAGGGGGGGAAGGAGGAGGAAAUUUUCCGAAAGGGGCGAAAGCCUAAGGGAGAAACGCCGGGGGAGUGAUAAAGGUUUUCGGAUCGUAAAACUUUUUUAUUAGGGAAAAAAAAAUGUGAAAGUAACUGUGCAAAUCUUGACGGUACCUAAUCAAAAAGCCACGGCUAACUACGU
rnacentral:rRNA from 1 species